GCCGGAGUCCAUGACCCAGGGAAUGGCAGGGUCCUGCCCGCUGAAGGGCGUGCGCUGCCAUGGGGCAGCACAGUUGCGAUGAGUGUGAUAUUGGGAAGAGUUGACCGCGGCACAUGGAGAAGACAAUGAAGCAAAUAGGCAGGAAGAAAAAGACACAGGAAACCAUGGGCCUUCAAGCAAAGAAAGGGAAGAUACGUGUCUUAGCUUCUGGCCCCGCUCUUUGGGAGCAAGCGGUUGAGGGUAUGCAUUCCUGUCGAGAGAGCUGUGUCUGAAGAGUGGAACCAGCCUCCGUUCGCUGCAGGACUUUGAGGGGGUUACUAUGCACUCCUGUAGCUUCAUUGAUGAAGUGGAGCCGAUUCUAUACCUGCUCCGGAAGGUAAGAGGAAAGGAGCCCAAUACAAACAAAGUAAAUCCCUAACACUGACCACUCACAUCGCAGACACUUCAUAAUGAUAUUUAUCGGGAUGACUGAGGCCCAUGGAACUGCGCUGCUGAUUAGAUAAUUUCUCUGUUUAUUGAAUGUCCACAGGUGCAGAAUCUGAGGCUCAGAGAGGUCAAGUCACUACUCAAAGGUUGCAGAGCAAGGAAGACCCAAAAGGAAAAUUCGAGCCCAGCUGUUUCAGACCCAGUGCGGGCUUGCCAGCUUGCUGAGAGAAGACCAUGGAGGACCCCUGAGACCUUGCCGUGGAAUGUGCAUCCACACCCAUUGGGGCGUAAGAGAGUGAGUGUGCAGGAAGGAUAGGGACACGCUUUAUUCCUGCCCGGAGACAGUAUGGACAUCGUCAUCAGAGAGUUAGCUAUCAGUACUUGGGGGCUCUCAGGAAAAUGGUGAAAGGCGAUGAAAUGGACAAAAAAAAAAUUAUUGGGGGCUGUGUCUGGCCCACCCUUCUGGGUUAUAUCUCCCUUUCCAUGUCUUUGAGCCAUUUACCACCCUGAAAUUCCAAGAAAACCCAUAAUAAUGCAAGGGAUUAUUAAUCCCUAGAGUUGCAAAUUGUGUCCAGUGGAGAUGAGUUGACGGCUGCCCAAUAGAGAGUAACCAGUUUUGCCUGCCUGCCUACGUGUGCUCCUUGAUUUCCCCCUUUGAAUGGGUUGUAACGUCUUUCUGGUCCCCUCACUAAUUCAUGAGUUCAAUAAAAUAUUUGGCAUAUGCUCCUGUCA
rnacentral:lncRNA from 12 species